ACUCAAAUGAAUUGACGGGGACCCGCACAAGCGGUGGAGCAUGUGGUUUAAUUCGAUAAUCCGCGAAAAACCUUACCAGCUCUUGACAUGGAAGUCGCGAGCUCGAGAGAUCGAGCUUUUCGGUUCGGCCGGACUUCGCACAGGUGGUGCAUGGCUGUCGUCAGCUCGUGUCGUGAGAUGUUGGGUUAAGUCCUUUAACGGGCGCAACCCCUAUCUUUAGUUGCUAACAGGUAAAGCUGAGAACUUUAAAGAGACUGCCAGUGAUAAACUGGAGGAAGGUGGGGAUGAUGUCAAGUCCUCAUGCCCCUUAUGAGCUGGGCUACACACGUGCUACAAUGGUGACUACAAUAGGUUGCAAUGGAGUGAUCCGGAGCCAAUCCUUUAAAAGUCAUCUCAGUUCGGAUUGUUCUCUGCAACUCGAGAACAUGAAGUUGGAAUCGCUAGUAAUCGCAGAUCAGCACGCUGCGGUGAAUACGUUCACGGGUCUUGUACACACCGCCCGU
rnacentral:rRNA from 1 species